AACGAUGGCAAGGAGAGAUGACCUGUCAUUUUGCCGAGAGAUGAAAUUUAGGAAUAAGAUGGUAGAAUACCUGACAGACUGGGUUAUGGGAACAUCAAACCAAGCAGCAGAUGAUGAUGUAAAAUGUCUUACAAGGCAUCAGGUACCUGAAAAAGAAGAGAUCAAGGCUUUGAAAACGUUAAGUAUUUUCUACCAAGCUGGGGCUUCCAAAGCUGGGAAUCCUAUUUUUUAUUAUGCUGCACGGGGCCCAACAGAAUAAAAAGACCAUGAGAAAGGAUAUUUGCAAAACAUCUAAAUGACAAGGUACUGAAGAUCAGAAAAAACAAGGAGCGCCUAUGAGAAGGGACUUCUCCAAGCUCUGUCUGGGUUCUGCUGUCAAUGGUGUUGUCCAGAGUUAUUGAAAUAGUCAUAGAUGGGUGUAUGUGCGGGGGAGAAGAUGGCGGCGGCGGGGGAGGCAGCGUGAGCAGCCGGAGGAGCGCCGAGUCCCAUUGAAACCGGCAGCCAUGGCCCUCCACAGCCCGCAGUAUAUUUUUGGAGAUUUUAGCCCUGAUGAAUUCAAUCAGUUCUUUGUGACUCCUCGAUCUUCAGUU
rnacentral:lncRNA from 1 species